CGAAUCAGUCGGGGCGGGUCAGUGCACAGUCUGGGUAUUCGGACGGCUGUCCUCAGCAAUUCUUAUUCUCUCCCAGAUGUGGCAUGAAUUUUGGUAUUUUUUUCUGGCCAU